rnacentral:lncRNA from 1 species
GGAGUGCUCUGGAUAAUAAUGGUGCUGAGUCCCCCAAACCAAACAGAGAUGCUAAGGAUUCUGUAGAUAAUAAUGGGGCUGAGGCCCCCAAACCAAAUGGAGAUGCUAAAGCUUCUGAUGAAGGGAUGGAAGCUACUGAUCGAACAAAAGAAUCAGGUUUUGAUUCAAAACCCCAAUCUACCGUGUCCCAAUCUAAUAAAAGGAGGAGAAGAGUUGCUAAACAAACUGCAUUUUCUGAUUCAGAUUCAGAGAGUGAGAUUGAACUUUCAAGGGAUGAUUUGGUGAAACUUCUGAAGGAAAGAGAAGAGCUUCUCAUGGCAAAGAAUGAAGAGAUGAAGCAAAUGCAAGAUAAAGUUCUCCGUUCUUUUGCGGAAAUGG